UAUCUCAAAAAGGGGUGCCUUAAUACAACGGGCUGAGAUUAUACCCAUCGUACCUGUACACGGAUAAUGCCGCCGCAGGGAAAAGAGAGCUUUGCUAUU
rnacentral:ncRNA from 1 species